rnacentral:lncRNA from 1 species
UAAUUUUUACGUAUCUUAAUAAUAAUUAAUAAAAAAAAAUAAUAACUUAUUAUUCAUUUCUAUUCGUUAACAAUAUCGUAGCGAUAUAUCAAAUGAAUAAGAUAUCGAUUAAAUAUCGAUAGUCGCGAGUCUAAUCCAGUUCCAAUAUGGCGGAAACGUGCGAGAACGCGUGAAACGUGACAGUCGAUCGAAUUUUGUUCUUGUUCUAUUUUUCAAUAGCGAAGUGGAUAAUAAUUAUCAAUCAAACUGCACUAGUUGCGCAUUAAACAACGGAUACAGAUAAGAUUGGAACUUCGCACAGCGGAAGAGACGAAACUGUGUGUUCGCGAUCUUGCACGAGUCGUUAAUGAAUGCAACUCAAUUGUAAUUCGAUUGACGUGAUGUGCGGAGGCGAGGCGCGACUCCGUUGCCUCGUUGCCUCGGUUCGCUUGUUCGCUUGGAAACAGCGGGAGGAAACGAAGAAAGGAAAAGAGAGAAUGGCGAGGAGGAAGAGGGCGGGUGUAAGGGUAAGCACCGAACCUGCCGAGGAAUAGCUUCACGCAUGCUUCCCACGUGACUCAGCCGCUCGAGCAUAGAUACGUAUCGUUUGUUCUCCCUCGUUUCUUCGUUUAUGCUCCCUUCAUCAUAUAUGAAUAUGACGCAUCUUUGGAAACUUCGAUUCAAAAGAGCCAAGCUUCCGCCUUUCCAAGUAUCAUCGUUACGAGAAACAUUACGUGGACUUUGAGGAAGCGAAAGUCACGUCCCUUUCCCGACACGCGAAACGUUUUCGCAGGAGUCAGAAUGUGUGCAAAGCUCGACGAAUAAUUAAAAUUCUCAAACCUUGACGAUUGAUCGUUAAUUCAACAACGAGGUUUCGAUCGAUUUCGAUUCUCCAGUAGUUCCAGACUCGAAUACGCUUUGUUUAAGAAUUGAAUGGCUAUUAUUAUAGGUCAUUCGCAUCUCUAAAUACUUCACGUACUUUUAUUUCUUUUUUUUCUUCAUCCAUGUAUCAUCAUUUUAUACCGAUAGAAUGUACAAUGUAAGUACAGAAUAUCAUUAUACAUGUAUCCUUUAAUGAUUUAGAAUAAAUUGCAAUCAUCAGAAUUAUCCAACGGGGGCAUCUAUUUACCGUGUGAAGAUACAAUAGGAAUAGAUUCUUCUUUUCCAAUUCAAUUAAUUCUAUUAUUGAAUUAAUUGAAUUAUUGAAUUUUCUUCAUUUUAUAAUACACGGAAUUUAAAUACACUACGAUCAUUUAUACAUCCAAAAUGUAAAAAUUCUAACUAGUUUUUAUACAAAUACAAGUUAAAAAUUACUUCUAUUUAUAUUCCUAUCGCACAACAAUAAGAAAUGAUGAACAAUAAGAGAUGACUAAUUCGUAAAAUCCACGAUUCCUUCGAUUAUCCAUUACAUUCAAUGUCACGAUAUGUCCUCGAAUAAUAUUCCCUCUCACAUCACAAUACCAAAUAUUCCUAUUUUGCAUUUUCAGGGAAACGAAACCUCUCCUAAAUUAAACAAUUACAAAUAAACGACAUAACGAAUCUCGAACGACAAUUGAGACUUGAAGAGCGUGAUUUACGAGCGUAUUUCGUAAAAAAAAACGUCACGAAUCUAAAGUGUCGCAAGUUGAUCGAAAUAAGGUCGUGCACAACAGGCACGAGAUCCGUAGUGGUGGAAGGGUUGUUAUUCGCAGGUUAGUAUCGGUGAUACCUAAUCGCGUUUCGAAGGAAACCGAGACUAUAAAUCAACUUCAGCUUUCAAAAACUGGUUGCUCGCCGCAGACAUGAUCUCAUUAAUACCGUGUGCUUCGGUCACGGUAAUUGGACAGUUGUUGGCGCUACGAUCGACGAGUUUCGGUCGGUAUCGCGGAACCCACGCACGAAUUCGCGUAUACCCGCGUCGUGACACGAGAGAUCGGUAACGAUAUAUAUAUAUAUAUGUGUGACGAAACCGAGAAAGGCAGUCGUCGAUCCGAGUCGGCCUCCUUCGAGAACCGUGGCCGUCAGUCGAUACGAUUACUACGUACGUGACAUUUCGAAUCUAAUAUCCACGACCGAGAACAUUAGCUACAUAACCUAUACAUCAUCAUAUAUCACCGAGUGUAUAAAUGUUGCGUAUCAAAGUAUGAAGAAUAACCAACCCGUACGAUCUCAACGUGAGGAAAAUUAUAGUAUCCCUGCGAAUCUUGUGCAAACGUUGCAUCCCGAUUUCUCUAAUCCUAUCUUACUUUCAUCUCGCUUUAUCUAACUCGAAUUUAUUUUCACAAAUGAAACUCUGAUAAAAAAAAUACUCGAUAACUUCACUUUUAUAUAUAUAUAAUUCAACAACGAAUUAAUAAAUUUCGCAAAGUCGGAAAAAUGCGUGCAAAAUUUAUCGAGCUAUAUUGAGGUUAUGUUCGAUGCUUCGGUCUAAACCUUGAUCCUCGAGUUAACGAAACUUAAUUCCCCGCACGGAAAUAUGACGUUUAUUUACGGGCAUCGUACGAUCAUCGUCGAAACGAGACGAUGGACGGAGGAUGGAAAAGGUGAGAUGGGUUCGUUCGUUCGUUCGUGAGGAGGCCUACUUUGCACGUGGCCUACUUGCUGAACACCGGCGGUCACGCGAGAAGGCAUCGAGAGGCCUUCGCACGCAUCUUCGAUUCUGACCUCGAACCGAAUCGGAAGUACCUUGGAUUUUCCCUAUUCGCAAUGGAAUUUCGCAAUCUCUCUCUCUCUCUCUCUCUCUCGAUCUACCAACGAGAUCGCGCGCGAGAGAGAGAGAUAGAGAGAGAAAGAAAGAGAGUAGGUGUGCAGAGAAGGAGGAUCUCUCGCGUCG